rnacentral:rRNA from 1 species
AGACGAACCGGUCAAACGUUAUUCGGAAUCAUUGGGCUUAAAGGGUGCGUAGGCGGUGCGGAAAGUUGGGUGUGAAAUCCCUCGGCUCAACCGAGGAACUGCGCCCAAAACUUCCGUGCUAGAGGGAGACAGGGGUGAGCGGAACUGAUGGUGGAGCGGUGAAAUGCGUUGAUAUCAUCAGGAACACCGGUGGCGAAGGCGGCUCACUGGGUCUCUUCUGACGCUGAGGCACGAAAGCUAGGGUAGCGAACAGGAUUAGAAACCCCAGUAGUCC